AGUUUCUUACAAAAACUCAACGAGUAAAGUCUUCUUAUUUGGGAUUUUACACCCUUCGACUCGUUUUGCCUAUGUUGUGUGUUCAAUCAAAUUGACACGCUUUCCCUUUUUGCUUCAUUUCCUUUGGCCGUCUUCUUUUGCAGCCUGUUUGCAUUUGCAUUUAAAUUACAUUGGAUACCGAAAUUUGAAAACGAUACGCAGGGUUUUUCUCUCAAUUUCGGGUCUGCUGGGAACGCGGAUUGUGGGAUUGGCUUGAACUUUGCCCAGACCCGAUGCAAAAAUGUGAUACUCUGCAUUAACGAUCCCCAAGAGCUGGAAAUCACAAGGGAGGGAGUAUGAUACUCGAUUUUUUAGGGAUUGAGAAAACGGAACAGUAUAAUUGGCAUAAUAAAAACAUUAAUUAAAUACAUGGCUUAAUAUUGAAGGGAUUGAAGGGGUGCUGGCUUGGUGAUUGCUUAUCAGAAAUUCAAAUUUCCCCUUUUCCAGGCGAAUAACACAAUAUUUCUGCCCAUAUGUGUAGCCCACGAAGUGAACGAUUUUAAUCAGCGACUGCUGUCCAUUUCAGUUGCUGUUUAUGUUGUUUUUCCACACUUUAUUUUAUUUGCGCUGCUUUCAUGCGUCAAAAUAUUUUCCAGUUUUAGUAGCUGUUGUUGCCCCCGUGCUGUAGACUGUGUGUAGUGUCGUUGUUCCAGUUCUCCCGAUGAUGAUCAUUAUGAUGAAGACUUGUUAGACUUGACGCACGGCCGAAAGAGAGGGAGAACGUUCUUGUCGCGUCUCGAGGCGACUUCACCCCUCCAUAGAAUCUGGCACGGACUUCUCCGCCUCUCCACCCUCUCCACCACAACCCAUAUCACUCCACUUUCCAGUGCACCCGCGUUUGACCCCAAUUGAAGUUAACUCCGCUUGGCUGGGCGCUACUCAAAGUGUCUGUUACGAAAAUACCCUGCAAUGUGGAGUGCACGUUCUUAUCGGUACAUAAUCAAUUUACAGAGUUCAUCCACUUUUAAAUCUAUAUUUACCAUUAAAGAGAUCCAUCAUAUUUAAAACCAAAGUUAAGUUAGAUUAACAAAUCUAGAUAUUCAAUGUACUAGAACAUUUAUGGCACAAUUACAAAGUUGAUAUAGUUUUACAGAAAUAUGAAUAAUUUUAAAAUAAUAUUUUGUCUUGGUUGGUGUUGAAAAUAAAUUAAUGAUUCUUGAAUUAUUUGACGGUUCAAAUUAAUGGCGACCAUACAUUAGAAAAUCAACAUCUGCGAUCAGUUUUAUUCUUUUUGAACCUGCCAAUGUUCUCUGUGCCGCACAGUCAUGGCUAUUUCUUCUCGAUUCUUUUUGUCCCAAAGUUGUUUUCCAAGUGAAAAAACCACCCACCGCCCGCCCACUUGUACCAGCACACCUGAAGAGUUAGGCGGCCACGCCCACUUCCGUCGGCUGUCGUCUCACGCCCCUGCGCCCUCUUGUCAUCGCAUUGUGCAACACUCUUGCGUCUCUCUCUGCGAUUCUCAGUCGGGUUACUUUAGGUCAUUGCAGCUGGCGUUACGCUUCUAAUGCUCGCUUGAAGGACGUCGAGUCGACGUCGACUGCGACUGCGACUGCGACUGCGAGAGUUAUGUGCCCCGAUGUUUAUACUUUUGUUGUAGUUGUCAUUCUAUAGCCAGACUAAAGAAAAAAAAAAUAAAAACCAAGCGACCUUUAAGCGGUCGUCAACAUUUUGUUUACUUCAACACAAAGUCGUUUCGCUAGUCUAGCCACAAGGAAAAACGCAAACAAAACUGAGAAAAAAUUUUGAAUUUCUAAUUACAAUGGGUUCUAUCAGAUAAACAAGGAAUGCGAGGAAUGCGGGACUUGGGGUGAUAAGAGCCGCUUGCGGGAAAUGUUUCCAGGGGUUAGAUGAAAGAACUUGAUAAAAGAUUGCAUACAGUUGGCUUAGGCCUUCUAAGAGGCUCUUUACAAUUUUCACAAAGACUAGGGUUAUAUUAAUUAUAUUUUCAUAAACU